AUGUUCCCCGUUUCAAACUUGUUUCAACCCGGAAGCUGCUGUAGAGAUGAAGGACACACUUCGGAGCUACAUGUCAAAGUGGACAGGAGAGAGAAGUCACACAGCAGCGGCGAAGUGUCGUUCACAAUGAGAGCAACAGCCAAACACAAGGUGGUGACAUCAGGGAGGCUGACGGGAGGGGUCAAAGUGCAGCCGGCCAGAAGACAAGGGACUCCAAAUCCAGGGCCGCCCGCCCGCCCCGAGCCGGCCUACUCUCUGCACUCCACAGACGCAGAGGACCAGGUGAAUAAAUUGAGCAGAUCUGUAAACAGAAAGAUAGCCACGAGCGGACGAAUCGAGCAGAAUGAUGAUGUGCACGACCACAGCAGCAAUGGCAUGUUGAACAGAUGCGGGCGUCACAGCUUUGCUCUGUGUCCUCAGGUCACUACUCUCCACGAGGGUCUGGACCGCUGUGCUGCCUUGCUGGGUGGCAUCCUUCAGGCUGACGCGACAGCCUCACCAAGCGUUCCUACACCAGUGACGUGUGGAGCAGCCAAAACAAGACCAUCCACCUCACUUGGGAAGAAGCCCAUGAAGAAAGUACCUAAAAUGACAGUCCAGAGGAACUCUCCGUCCUGCCCACGAGCAGCAGGCGGCACCACUCCGAGAGCAACACACGCAUCUGGCUCUCCUGCUGCACACUCAGGAGUGAAGCUGCAUCCACCUCAGGGGCACACCAGAGUCCACGUCUCCCCAGCCCAGCCCCGCACCUCCGUCCUGCAGCCUGCGCUGCAGUCGUCUCGUCAGCCGGGGCAGCAGCCGCCUCCCGGUCAGACAGAACCCUGCCCGUCACACACGCACUGUAACGCGGGAGGAGGAGGAGGAGGAGGAGGAGGAGGAGGAGGAGGAGGAGUGUGUCCCGGUGAGAGACAUCGAUACCCAGCACGCUGCCACACGCACAACUGGUGGACACGGCUGUGCCAUGGAGGUGUCAACCAUCCGUCAGGACACACACUGCGAGGGAGUGAAGACAGUUCAAUAUCUGCUGGGAGAACUCAAGGCUCUGAUCACCGGACAAGGCAGUGUUGCAGAGAGGCUGCUCAGUCACCUGGAGCAGGCCGUGUCCUCACCGCUGCUGAAUGA
rnacentral:lncRNA from 1 species